AUGCGUUUGAGAGACAGAAUAAAGCGGAAGGCCUGGGAAUGGUUACUGAAGAAGGAACUCUCAUCGUUCGUGAGCGUGGUGAAAAGGUCUUGCAGCAUGAUGAAUUUACUCGAGAUCUAUUUAGAUUUUUGCAGCUGCUCUGUGAAGGGCAUAACAAUGGUAAGUGAACUGAAUUUUGGGGAAAAGGUGUGGUGAGUCUGUUCUGAAACAGAGUUGAAUAGAACCAAUUCUAAUGGGUUUUU
rnacentral:lncRNA from 1 species